GGGGCCGCCGCCGUCUUCCCGAGAGCCUCCCCGCUCCUCCCCAGACCAAGCCUGUUACUCCUCUGAGAGGACCCAACUGCGCCAGGGAAGAAGACAGUGGCCAAAAAUUAGAAGACUAUUUAUACAAUGCGUUUAAAGACAAGAAUGUGAGCAACAGACCCGGUACAAUGGAAGCUUUGUGCAGCUCGGACCGGCAGGCAGGCAGGAAGGAGCCGCGCGGUGGGUGUGGCCGAGCUGAGCUCGGGCGAUCCUGAGGUCCUUACUCAUCUGCGCGGGGCGGAGGCGCGCGCAGGCACAGGAAUGGUCCCGCGUGGCCGCUUGCAGCGGGCCUUCUAAAACUGAAGCCUGAGAAAAGGAUAUGACUAAUCCGGGGAUUUAAAAGCUGGGCCUGGACCCUGUUUUGAGGCCAGUUGCAGCGCUUUGGGGUUUGCCUGGGGAGGAGUAAAGCCUGAGAAGGAAGCAUCUUGUGCUCAUUCUCCCGUGCCUUUUCCUCCAG
ensembl:lncRNA